GGAGGGGUGGCAGAGUGGUCGAUUGCGGCGGUCUUGAAAACCGCUGGGCGUGCAAGCGCCCCGUGGGUUCGAAUCCCACCCUCUCCGCCA
rnacentral:tRNA from 1 species